GACGUAGGGCGCGAGCGUUGUCCGGAUUUAUUGGGCGUAAAGAGCUCGUAGGCGGCUUGUCGCGUCGACUGUGAAAACCCGUGGCUCAACCAUGUGGUCUGCAGUCGAUACGGGCAGGCUAGAAUUCGGUAGGGGAGUCUGGAAUUCCUGGUGUAGCGGUGAAAUGCGCAGAUAUCAGGAGGAACACCGGUGGCGAAGGCGGGACUCUGAGCCGAUACUGACGCUGAGGAGCGAAAGCGUGGGGAGCGAACAGG
rnacentral:rRNA from 1 species